rnacentral:rRNA from 1 species
CGUAGGGUCCGAGCGUUGUCCGGAAUUACUGGGCGUAAAGAGCUCGUAGGUGGUUUGUCGCGUUGUUCGUGAAAACUCACAGCUCAACUGUGGGCGUGCGGGCGAUACGGGCAGACUGGAGUACUGCAGGGGAGACUGGAAUUCCUGGUGUAGCGGUGGAAUGCGCAGAUAUCAGGAGGAACACCGGUGGCGAAGGCGGGUCUCUGGGCAGUAACUGACGCUGAGGAGCGAAAGCGUGGGGAGCGAACAGGAUUAGAUACCCUGGUAGUCCACGCCGUAAACGGUGGGUACUAGGUGUGGGUUUCCUUCCUUGGGAUCCGUGCCGUAGCUAACGCAUUAAGUACCCCGCCUGGGGAGUACGGCCGCAAGGCUA